rnacentral:lncRNA from 1 species
GUGGGAGCAUGUGUAGUGUGAAUUGGUAAAAAAAAAAUAUAUGUUGUUUAUUCUCUUUAGCUUUGAAUUAGUUUGAAUUGUAGUUAGUUGUUUUUCCUUUCUUUAAAUUAUUUUUGCAUUUGAUAAUUUUAACUGUGUUAGAUAAUUGUUGUUGAAGUGUUGGGUUUAAUAUUUUCUUUUAAUUUAAUGUUGUCUAGUAUAUUUGGUGAUGAUAAGUUUAGCUUUAGUAUCCAACCGUUACAAUCUUGUUAGUUGGAUUUAAUUUGCAUGUCUUAAUUCAGUCUAAUUGCAUUCACAAAAUACUUUUCAAACCCCCCCCC